rnacentral:tRNA from 1 species
GCUACUGUGGCUCAGCCGGUAGAGCAGCUGAUUCGUAAUCAGCAGGUCGGCGGUUCAAGUCCGCCCAGUAGCUCCA